UUGCUUUGGCAGCACAUGUACUGAAAUUGCAAUGAUACAGAAAAGAUUAGUAUGGCCCCUGUGCAAGGAUGACAUGCAGAUUUGUGAAGCAUUCUAUGUAUAU